rnacentral:lncRNA from 1 species
CAUUAUUUAAUGUGUUUUUUUAAAUAAGCACAAUCAACAACACAUUGUUGUCCUGAAUAUCAGUACAAAUCAAACCAAUCCAUUAAAGCCAAUCAAAAUUCAAGAAUCCAUCACAAAUCAUUUCCAUUCACCCCAUCUUCAAAAUAAUGAAAGUUGAAACAAAACUUAAUUCACCCCCCAAUCAAAUUCAAAAAUUAAUACCUCAACCCAAGCAACCCAAAACCUAUCAUAUCCAAGCAAUAGCAGUCAGUUAAAUAGAGUAUUGCUAAUACACAUCAACUUUAAUCCAUCGAAAUAAAAGUAAGGACAACCAUAUUCUACAAAUUUAUCUUUUCACUCAAAGCAAAGGUUACCACCGCCAUGGCGCAUUUGAAUUCUCUACAUGUGAAGUUAGAACACCGGCUUCAUCAAGUUUCUACAAGCCAAGCAGCGUAGAAAUGAAUCAAAAUUAGGCACCAAUUUUUGCUACAUCAACAAAAUUUCCGAAAGAGAAAUUUCACAACCCAGUGACAGCAUACAAGUUUUUACAAGUAUAAUGAAAUUUCAAAGAGGAGGAUCAGUGCUUUUUUCUUGAAUAGUUCCAAAAAGUAUAAAAAAAAAGUAUCAGUACUUUCCGAAAGUGUCUUAAGGUAUUGGCUCAUAUCUAUAAAGAAUAAUAGCACAUGGAUGAACAAUAUGUUGCCGUUACGGCUUCACAAGGUUGCCCAAUCACUUUCGUUAUUUUAUAAUAAUAUCCCAAAUAAUCGCUUGUAAAGAGUCCAUAAGGACUAUUCUUAUAUCUGAGUUCAAAUAAUCUCUAAAAUAAUCUCUUAAAAAAUAAAAAAAAAAAAAAAAAAAAAAAAAAAAAAAAAAUCCCCCCCCUCAACAAAAAAAAAAAACCCCAAAAAAAAAAAAAAAAAAAAAAAAAAAAAAAAAAAAAACCCCCAAAAAAAAAAAAUAAAAAAAAAAAAACGCGCGCACUUUUUAAUUCCAGAGCGCAUCUCCCAAUUCGUUUAACGCAAUGAGGGACCAUCUAAAAAUAUCCGGAGCUAAUUCUACUUCUCUCUCCAUCCAAAACCUAUUACUUUGCACAAACAAGAUGGAAGCAACUGAAGAGGCAGGAGGUGUAAGAGAUCACGUUCCAUGAUUGAAUAAUGGAGAAUUAGGGAGCAUUAUUGUUCACCCAAAGUUAAGAUAUCAAAAUUAUCUUCGGUGUCUACACUUGCUAAGAAAUCUAUUUCCAAAUAUAUAGAAAGUUCAGUGUGUAAAACUACACGUCUCCUCUACUGAAAGCAAAGACCAAGAUGAGUCAUUGCUAGACGAAGAAGAUACUAAUGAGAAAUUAAAAGUUGGUUAGAAAAUUUAGGACUCCUAUGAAGCAUAUAUUGUUUUCAAAAGUAAUGUCCCAUCAGUAAUAGUGGAUGGUAAUUUAAUAUCUUAAAUUAUUAGCCAUCCCACAAUAGACAAUGCAACACCUUCUACCUUAAUCUUGGGUCCAUACAUGCAGCUAAAAUAAAACUUUUAGGCAUAUCCUCAAAGUAUUUUUGAAUUUUAUUCAUAACUAAUUUGCAUUAAAAAAUUUUUAUUUUAUUAUCAAAAAAAUUGAUUUUUGAUUUUUUUGAUUUUUUAAAAAUAUUCUUUUGUUCUUAUUAUAAAAUACUAUGGGCCAUAACUCAAAAUUUUAAAAUUUAUAUUGUUGUUAUAAAAAAUUAAUUUUUAUAUUUUUUUCUAUUUGUAAUUUGUACUAUUCAUAAUUUUAUUUAAAUGUUUUACAAUUUUUCCUUAUUAUGGGCAUUUGGCAAGUUCAUAUUAUUUAAUAAAAAUAAUUAUUAUAUUUUAUUUAUGGCAGGGCCCAUGAGCAAGUCAAAAUUUAGUUAUUUAUUUUUUUAUCAAAAUUAUUUUGAUUUUUCUCAUUUUUUUCUUAAUUAUGGCAACUAGCAAGUACAUUUAUUUAAUUACAAUUUAUUUUUACUUAUAUGGCCAUGAGUCCAUACACAAUAUUGACAAGUUUAAUUCAUUUAAUUAAAAUUUAGUUUGGACUUAUUAUGAUUAAUGGGCCCCGACAAGUCAAAAUUCAAUUUUGUAUUUUUUUCUUAUUCAAAAAUUUUAUUAAAAAAUUUUUUACAUCUAUUUUUCUCCUUAUAGAAAAUAAUUUAUUUAAUUAAAUUUUAUUUAAAUUAUUUAAUAAUAUCAAUUUUGUCACUUCCAGUCGUGCAGUCAAUAAAGUUGUCGUUGCCCUUGACACUUCCUGUUGUGGCUCGUACCCGUGGUCGUGUCAGCCUAAUGCCGUGUCGUGACCGUGUUAUGCCUGACUAAGUCCGUGUCAUGUCGUGCCGUGCCAAAACCAAGCCAACUAUCGUGUCUUGAUCGUGCCGUGCCCGACUUUGACCGUGCCUGUGCCGUGUCGUGCCAAGGCCUACUCCCUGUCGUGCUCGUGCCGUUGCCACACCAUUUUAGUAGCACCGUGCCUGUGCUCGUGCCCGCUCAGACCGUGUCGUGCGUGACGUGCCCAACUUUUAUC